CCACCGCUCUGAAAUUCCGACUGUAGCAUGUAGACAUUCUAAGCCAAUCACAUGGCUAGUUUUAGCUCCAAACGUGACCUCGGGAGCCCGUUCCAAAAAUCAUUUGCGUACGAUUGCAAUCUGCGACGAUGGCGCCCGAUGCGAAAUGCUAGAGAUACAGCGUAGCUAAGGCUUUAGAGAUGAUUUUGACGAUGGAAGUGAGCAUAGUGGUAUGUCUAGUGGUGAGGAAUCCGAAUUAGACAGAAAACUGGAAAAUCCUAGCGAAGAAUCGAGGCAAAAUUUCAGCAGUCAAACAAAGAAAUAUAGGUCCAAUGGUUGCACUGUAGACUUCAACAUUUACAUUGGGAAAGAUGCUGCAAGAGGGAUUAGUAAAUUUGGGCUUGGACAUGAUGUUAAGCCAGAUUCUCUGGAUGUCUUGCCCAUAAGAUAAGGAAUAUUUUAUCUUUGAAAUGUUUCCUUGUAACUCCACUCCCUGAGGCCCAGGCUGUUUCAAAGUCAAAAGUUGUCUGAUAAUUUAUGCAAAUUGUAAGCCAUUUUCUUAGCAUGAUUUAAAAUACAUGGAGUUUUGAAGGCAAAAUAUUUUUUUCUGCAAAGCUUAUUUUGUCCUCUUUCAAAUGAGAUAUAGCACUACUCACUAGUGUAAAUACUUUUGACAAAA